CCUACGGGAGGCAGCAGUGGGGAAUAUUGCACAAUGGGGGAAACCCUGAUGCAGCGAAGCCGCGUGAGUGAAGAAGUACUUCGGUACGUAAAGCUCUAUCAGCAGGGAAGCAAAUGACGGUACCUGUCUAAGAAGCCCCGGCUAACUACGUGCCAGCAGCCGCGGUAAUACGUAGGGGGCAAGCGUUAUCCGGAUUUAAUGGGUGUAAAGGGAGCGUAGGCGGCAGCGCAAGUCUGGAGUGAAAUCCCAUGGCUUAACCAUGGACCUGCUUUUGAAACUGUGCAGCUAGAGUGCAGGAGAGGUAAGCGGAAUGCCUGGUGUAGCGGUGAAAUGCGUAGAUAUUAGGCGGAACACCAGUGGCGAAGGCGGCUUACUGGACUUUAACUGACGUUGAGGCUCGAAAGCGUGGGGAGCAAACAGGAUUAGAUACCCCUGUAGUC
rnacentral:rRNA from 1 species